CAUUGUCUAAUUUGCCAUAAUAUUAGUACUUUUUUAUGAUUUCUUCACAUUUUCUUCAUAUACAGUGGUCAUAAAGAAAUAGCGGUAAUGUUACUUCAGCAUGGAGCUAACACUUCUAUGAGGAAUAAGUCAGGUCAAACACCUUUAGAACUAACAAAAGACUUAAAGAUGAAGAAACUACUGGAUGUUCAGCCACUUCAGGUAGCAAAGAUUAACAAUUCCUUUCAAAAAUCACCGCUUUUGAAAAGAAAGG